AAUAAGCUAAAAAAAAACAAAUUUUUGUGACAAAGUCAACCAAAGCUAUCCAAAAUAAAUAAGUAAAUAAAAGAAAAAACAAAAAAUAAAAAUAAGAAUAAAAAAAAAAAAAAAAGAAUUUAAUAGGAGACUUCAAGAUUCGGGACUAUAUAAAGGCAAACGGUUAAUCGGUUCGUCUUCUUCACUAACAACAAAACUCUUUUUCAGCCCCAAAAAUUCAACUGCGUCAUAUUUGCAGUUUUUUUUACCAUUACUGAAGGAGCUCAAGGAGAGGACCUUGUAUACAGAAAACAACAACAAACAACAACAAGAACAUAUCCAGUGAAAUCCCACAAAUGAGGUCCACUUGUAUGGAGAAAGUAGAGGGUACACUAUCUCAUGGAUGUAGAGAGGCUGUUUCCAAAAGACUCUCGGCUCGAGUGCAGCAAAUCCAGUUGCACCGGGUAUCCGAGACUCUUCGAGUCCCGACUAAUCCAGGGUGCACAGGCCCUUGGCAAGGAGUUUCCGCAAUUGCACCACGGAUAAUUCAGGGUUUCACCCAGUUCGAUGGCUCCAGAAGGAGUUUCCUGCAAGUGCACCACGGGUAAUUCAGGGUUUCCCCCAGUCCGAUGGCCCUAAAAAAUUGUUUGCACCCAGUGGGAAUAGAACUUGAGACCUUGAAAGAGAGCACCCAAAGCUCAAGCCAAUUAUCAGCAAGCCAAUCCUGAGGGUUAAUUAUGACAGAUUUUUCAAUUAUAAUUGGACAAUCUUAAUUGGUGUUUAAUGUUUAACUGAGUCUUCCGAAGUGCAGGCUUCUUCUAAAUCUAUUUAAUAAAACCAAGUCGCAUAUAGCCCAAUAAUAUGGCUACGAGCCCUUUCCUUACUCA